rnacentral:rRNA from 1 species
GUGUUACUGACGCUAAAGCUCGAAAGUGCGGGUAUCGAACAGGAUUAGAUACCCUGGUAGUCCGCACGGUAAACGAUGGAUGCCCGCUGUUUGCCCUUCGGGGUGAGUGGCUAAGCGAAAGCGUUAAGCAUCCCACCUGGGGAGUACGCCGGCAACGGUGAAACUCAAAGGAAUUGACGGGGGCCCGCACAAGCGGAGGAACAUGUGGUUUAAUUCGAUGAUACGCGAGGAACCUUACCCGGGCUUGAAUUGCAGAUGACGGAUCUAGAGAUAGAGACUUCCUUCGGGACAUCUGUGAAGGUGCUGCAUGGUUGUCGUCAGCUCGUGCCGUGAGGCGUCGGCUUAAGUGCCAUAACGAGCGCAACCCUUCUCUUCAGUUGCCAUCAGGUUAAGCUGGGCACUCUGGAGACACUGCCACCGUAAGGUGUGAGGAAGGUGGGGAUGACGUCAAAUCAGCACGGCCCUUACGUCCGGGGCUACACACGUGUUACAAUGGCCGGUACAGAAAGUCGGAUGCCCGUAAGGUCAUUCUAAUCAAGAAAGCCGGUCCCAGUUCGGACUGAGGUCUGCAACCCGACCUCACGAAGCUGGAUUCGCUAGU